rnacentral:rRNA from 1 species
GACGAACGCUGGCGGCGUGCCUAAUACAUGCAAGUAGAACGCACAGUUUAUACCGUAGCUUGCUACACCAUAGACUGUGAGUUGCGAACGGGUGAGUAACGCGUAGGUAACCUGCCUGGUAGCGGGGGAUAACUAUUGGAAACGAUAGCUAAUACCGCAUAAUAUUCAUUAUUGCAUGAUAAUUAAUUGAAAGGUGCAAUUGCACCACUACCAGAUGGACCUGCGUUGUAUUAGCUAGUAGGUGAGGUAACGGCUCACCUAGGCGACGAUACAUAGCCGGCCUGAGAGGGUGAGCGGCCACACUGGGACUGAGACACGGCCCAGACUCCUACGGGAGGCAGCAGUAGGGAAUCUUCGGCAAUGGACGAAAGUCUGACCGAGCAACGCCGCGUGAGUGAAGAAGGGUUUCGGAUCGUAAAGCUCUGUUGUAAGAGAAGAACGGGUGUGAGAGUGGAAAGUUCACACUGUGACGGUAUCUUACCAGAAAGGGACGGCUAACUACGUG